rnacentral:ncRNA from 1 species
AUCUUAUUUCGAGAAGCUGAGGGAUUUGGCCCCGUGAAGCUUCAGCAACCGGCUAUUUUAAGUACGGUGCUAAAACCAACGAGAGACUCGAAUGAUAAGUA